rnacentral:lncRNA from 1 species
CUAAACCAUUUACUUCUAAAGUGAAACAAAUGCGAUUACAUAGAGAAGACUUUGAAAUAUUAAAGGUGAUUGGUCGAGGAGCUUUUGGGGAGGAAAACCUUUAACUUACGCCCUGGGUGUUGCCUGUCAACAGUUUCCUGGUGGCUCACCGCUUCUGCCUGCUCCAGCCUUGCUCCGGCAGCUUCAAGGCUUCUGGGCUUCAGAGCUUGUUGUGAAAGCUUGCUGCUUUGGCCUGCUACCCCUGCUUCAGGUUGCUGUAGUAAAACUAAAAAAUGCAGAUAAAGUGUUUGCCAUGAAAAUAUUGAAUAAAUGGGAAAUGCUGAAAAGAGCUGAG